AUCCAGCUGACGCGUCACAAAUAGGACGAAAUGCGCGUCCUGGAU
rfam:Schistosoma mattheei strain Denwood, Zambia genome assembly, scaffold: SMTD_scaffold0017776